CUGACGUACCCAACGUUCAAGUCUUCUCUGGCACUCGUCGCCUCUAAAAAAAAUCUUCUCUCGCACUCACACCUUGUCGUUUCUAAUCCUCAAAAAUAAAAUAAAAAAUGGUUACUGUUUCUUGAUCCCCUUUUCAUUUCCUUCUUUCCUCUCGCUCCUCCUUCAACCAGAUGAGCUCUGGCUGUUAGCGCUGCUCAACUCACUGGUGCGGCCAUGGGGUGGCCGUCUACGGCACCUGGUUUGGCUCCUAUACGCCUCGUCAAUCUCUCAGACCGGUCAACGGCGACGGAGUGGUAGUAGGGCCCAAGGAGAAGUGGCUCUAGGGAGGAAGCGAGCUCGUCGAUCUCGACGGCCCCGUUGCCGUCGCCGUCCAUCCAGGUGAUGUUGGUGUGGAUCUUGUCUCCCGCAACCAGCUUAGAUCCACCUUGAUUUUGAGAUGCCGACGGCGUUGUUUUCGAUCGCAUCGUGGCUGCCCCCGAGCGAGGCAGCCCGACAGUCACCUUCAUCUUACACUUGCAGGUCCUCUUCUCUCUUUUCCUGUCCCUCUCAUGUUUUUGUUUCUUAUCCUUCUUCUGCAUGUGUAUGGGUAAACUAAUAUAAUGCAAUUAAGGUAUUGCUUGUUAGGAUGUAUAUCUACUUAUGCCCCCUUGCCCCGUUCAUAUUCAACAAAUUUAGUAAGUAAUCAGUGUAUUCAUGAUUAGACCAAAGAAAAAGUUUAUAGGAAAAUAGGUGCGAUUGCAUCCUACAUAUGAACUAAAACGAUGUGUGGAUGUUGUAACUAUUGGCUUGUACUAUAGAAUAAGCUUAAAAUAUCAGAUAACACAAAGUGUCGACAUUUGGUAUUAUCCAUCUAUUUCCAUCAAAUGUUGAUGCAUGUUUCCAAUACUUCUAGGAGUAGUAGAUCAUAUCCAUUCUGCCAUAUAAUGCUAGCAUAGAAAAGUCAGUUUUUAUGUUGAAGAUAGUUUUGUAGUGUACUAUUUUCCCAUCUACUUAUUUUAUCUAAUAGGCUAGUGGCAUAUGGAAGUUUGUUUUUGUUCCUACCUUUAGAUUAUUUCUGUGUAGACUAUGUUCUUGACCACAUCAUCCUUGUUGUUAGUUCAUUUGCUAUAGAAAUGAAAAUAACAGGUAUGAUCAAGUGAGUAGGCUAUUACUGGCAAGUGUUUUCCCAAAGUAUCUCCUUUUUCUUAUGUCCCUCAUGAACUCAUUGAGCUUUAUGUGGAACAUUCGAUCAACAAUAUCAGGCUUCUAUGAUGUUGUUUGGCCUACUUCCAUAAGCAUGGAUUGAAUAUCCAGCCAAGCUGUGUUGCAUGUGAAUGCCAUAAAUAGGUCUGUGUAUCAAGCCCAUCGACAUCUUGCUAUAGCAUCUUGGUAGUUUUGUGCUUGUAUCUGAGGUUAUCUAUGAAGCUAGAUGGAAGUAGUAUUCUCCUUCCUACCUUGUCAGCCCUUGUAUCUCCUCUUUAUGUUGCGUCCUGCAAGUCAGCAUAUAAUUCUGCUCUUAUGUUUGCUUGAUGUUUUUUGAUCCAGUCUAGUCUGUACUACAAAAUGCAUGCAAGGGCAUCCAUUUUGAACUUCCGAAGUUGCUCUUUCGUUGAGGUUCUUCUCGCCUUAUAUGCAUGUCACAAGGCCCUUCUCAAGUUGCUCUUUCUUCAUACAAAAAUAUUGCACCACACCAUUCACACUUGUGGCUUGGACUUCCGAAGUCCCAAAUGUCCAUAUCUGUCCUUUUCAAUGUCCUGUUUAAGUUUCUGAAUUUAGCAUCAAUUGAAUAUUAGUAUGUUCUUUUUUCUUAAUAAUACAACAAACUUAAUAGAACUGACAUAUCUAGUUUUUCCGCCCUUGAUUUUUCUAUUUUACACUUUGUGUUACUUUUAGUCAUGUACACACGCUUAACCGAAUUACCAUGUUCAUGAAUGUCCAAAUUGUAGAUCUUGAUUGAAUUUUCUUGCUACUUACCAUGUAGUUUUACGAGCCAAUGCUUUCCUAUGGCAAUUCGACAAUGCUGAUUUUGCCUCAGUCAAUGCACAUGAUCGACAUCUGUACAUGAUAUGGUUCCCUGUGGUAAUUCAACAAUGUUGAUUUUGCCCUCGUCUUGAUUAAGCCAUGUUGCAUGGAAAUGUGUUUUCAUGUUUUUUAAAAGCUGAUAGGUACAAUCAGGAACAAAUGCAACAUGUUUUUGUCAUUUAAUAUAGCACUUGGAAGGAAUGGAACACAUAGAUAUCACAAUUGAUGCGCAAAGAAGAAGCAAGCUAUAAUGUUGCUUCGAGUAUACUAUACUACAGUCAUGCAACAUGUAAGGGAAGUUUAGCAAUUGAAUUAAGAACAGUAAGUUAAGAUAGUGGAUGAUAAUACACAUGAGAAUACCUUUGUGAUGAUUUUCUUAUCGCACGUGGUACGCAUAUUUGUGCAGUCUGGCACAUCUCCAUGUAUGAUCGAACGCUAUCUCUUUUUGUUGUCUUGAAGUUUCAUUGUCCUUUCCUAAUCCUAUCUUGGUAUUAUUGAUUGUCUGGAUUCACAUCAGUAUUAUAAUAAUUUUUUUCUGGCUUAAAUCAGUUAUAAACCCAAAUGUGCCAAACUGGAAUUAUUGCAUUAUAUAAUUUAGGUGUAACAUUUUUGUGAUAUCACUUAUUAAAAGUGCAUGAUUAGCAAUGGAUCACCUUGUUGGAUUGUAUAUUUGAUUGCUUUUAACUACCUUGGUAGGUUUCUCACAUUAUUGCAAUGUGGUCCACCUUUUAUUUUCAUCGUUUCUUCCUGCACAAUUUAGAAAACAUGUAUUAGAGAAGAUGAUAUUGUAAAAUUGGUAUGGAGUACCGCUGAAGGUUAUGGAGAUUUAUGAUUUUGAUUAAUUAUUCGCCUUACAAUUUUUUGUUUUGUUGUAGAAGAAAAGGAGAUCAACUUCCAAGAUCAGUGAUUGUGGUGAAAGCUUUAAUGUUAAAAUGGAUGUUAAGUUUCAAUCAUCAUGUGAAGACAGUGAGGGUCUUUUACCCUUCUGUUGCAGUUAGAUGACAGUCUAUAGAAAACCUUAUAUGGGUGAAGAAUUAGAUUGUGAUUGAGGAUAGCAAGUUCAUGUACAAUUACGAUUGAAGAAUCGCAAGGGAACUUGCCUGAUCUAAAUUUGAAAGCUAUUUGAUUAUUUACCUUGAGUUGAAACAUGGUGUGUACCUUUGAUCAUGUUCCUCUGUGAUUUCCAUGGUGAUUGGGAAUCAAGUGGUGUAGACAAGAUGAGGAGGACUUGGAAUGAGAGGAGCCAUGGCAAGCUAGCAUUGAAGGAUGAAGGGACUCGCGCAGGUGAUCUUCCAACAUAGAUGUGUUUGUAGAUGUGUUUUCUAUUCGAUUGAAAGGAGGGAGGUCAUCCUCAUGUAGAUAAAAGAGAUAUGCUAUGUAUUCUAUUUUUUCUUUUCUAUUGAGAGGUACUUCCGGUUUC